AGAGUUUGAUCAUGGCUCAGGAUGAACGCUGGCGGCAUGCCUAAGACAUGCAAGUCGAACGGGGCUCAGCUAAGGAACAGGAGUGCUUGCACGAAAGGGAUAUAGUAAGAGCCAAGUGGCAAACGGGUGAGUAACACGUGGGUAACCUAGCUAUUAGAUGGGGAUAGCAAUUGGAAACGAUUGAUAAUACCGAAUAAGCUCUGAGGAGGAAAGGGAGCAGCAAAGCUCCGCUAAUAGAUGGGCCUGCGGCGUAUUAGCUAGUUGGUAGGGUAAAGGCCUACCAAGGCGACGAUGCGUAGCCGGACUGAGAGGUUGAACGGCCACACUGGGACUGAGACACGGCCCAGACUCCUACGGGAGACAGCAGUUAGGGAUAUUCGUCAAUGGGGGGAACCCUGAACGAGCAAUGCCGCGUGAACGAAGAAGGCCCAAAGGGUUGUAAAGUUCUGUUGUAUGGAAAGAAGAACUAAAAUAGGAAAUGAUUUUAGAGUGACGGUACCAUACGAGGAAGCCACGGCUAACUACGUGCCAGCAGCCGCGGUAAAACGUAGGUGGCGAGCGUUAUCCGGAAUUAUUGGGCGUAAAGCGUGCGAAGGCGGCAUGUUAAGUCUAGAAUUAAAGGCUGAAGCUCAACUUCAGAUUGUUCUAGAAACUGGCAAGCUAGAGUAUGGUAGAGGCAAACGGAAUUCCUAGUGUAGCGGUGGAAUGCGUAGAUAUUAGGAGGAACACCAGUGGCGAAGGCGGUUUGCUGGGCCAAGACUGACGCUCAUGCACGAAAGCGUGGGGAGCAAAUAGGAUUA
rnacentral:rRNA from 1 species